UAGGGAAGGACUAUCAGGUGAGGGCGGGGCUAGGUGUGUCUGAGUUCAGCCUCUCCUUGGGCAGGUCUUGCCGCGGCUGCUGGGAGGGAUGGGGGUGAGAUUCCCAGGUCAUUGGAGUUGUGUAUCUAGGAGGAUGAUUGCUGCCUCUGCUGAGUCAUGCAGGUUGUCAGGAAAGUUGAGGAAAGUCGGCAGUCACAGGCCUCACCCAGUUCCCACGCAAUCUGAAGGGCCGGUCUCACUCCCAUUGUGCCCCAUCAAUAGCCCCCAGACCAUUUCCAGCUGGAGAGCGAUACAGGCUUGAAAACAUACCCCAGGCUAUCUGCCUCCCAGCUGUGAAAGAAAAGGGCUUGGUUCUUUCCCUGCCUAAGGAGUCUGCACACCGGAUUUACAUCCUCCCCCGAGUGCUGGCCAGAAGGCUUCUCACCUGUUCAAAUUGUUACGAAGUUCAGUUAGAGAUUUGCUUCUCCCUGUGUAGUUUUACCCCCUGCUCCUCUCCCGUUGGAUCCCUGUAUUGCCAGGCAGGAAUGGCCUGCUACAGGACCCCGCGAGCUCCCAGGGCCUUUCUGCUGCUUUCUGUACCCCUGUAUUUCACUCGGCUCUCCAAAUGGACUCAGCUCCAGGUGAAGAUCUUGGGGCUUAGAAAGGUUACAUAGAUGGCAUGCUGUUACACCUAGCAUGCAAAACUAUAGUCCCUGCACUUCAGACCUGUGUGAGGAGUCUGUUCAAGCAGAAGCAAAAAGAACAAAGCUGGAGGCAUCAUGCUACCUGACUUCAAACUAUACUACAAGGCUAUAGUAACCAAAACAGCAUGGCAUUGGUACAAAAACAGACACAUAGACCAAUGGAACAGAAUAAAGACGUCAGAAAUAAGACUGCACAUCUACAACCAUAUGAUAGUCAACGAACCUGACAAAAACAAGCAAUGGGAAAAAGAUUCCCUAUUUCAUAAAUGGUGCUGGGAAAGCUGGCUAGCCAUAUGCAGAAAAUUGAAACUUG
rnacentral:lncRNA from 1 species